GCAAACGGGGGUUUUUCACAAUUGCGGACUCCUUCCGCAUACUUGUUUAUCUUGUCAUACUCAUGCUGCUCCUUCAGAUGAAAAAAGAAGACCCCUGAGCCCCAGCACCCCGAGUACGAGGAAGAAGGCGGCUCUAAAAUUCUCCUUUAGAUGGAAGGAUGACCAAGCUAUUCCUACGCUAUGUGAUGAACUGGUGAAUCAAACAACUAUGAUCGUUGCAUGUGGUGUUGUGAACUAGCGAUAUCUCUAUCCUUUAGGAAUCCUAUGGGUACUUCUGUUUUUGAUAUAUCUCAAAAAGUCAAAACUAACACAAGCUUCUUAUCAUGUGUCAUUGCCCCGUUUCAGUGUCACCGAAGGCACUUCUGAAAAGACCUACUGCAGUGACUGCAGGCACUACUGAAUAGACUGACUGAAGGCAUUUUAUCCUUUUGGUGUUGACGUAUUCUUAUCUCCAUGCAAAAUUGAUCAUAUUGCUCGUUUUGUGGAACUGCCCACCAUAAAUUCCUCCGGAGAAGUCCCAGCUAUACUUGUGGUUAAUCUUCAGAUACCCUUGUAUCCUGCUUCAAUCAUCCAAAAUGAACAUGAUGGAGAAGGAAUGAGUUACGUUAUGUACUUCAAACUGUCUGGAAAUUAUUUGAAAGCUCUUCCACUUCACUUUCAAGAAAAUAUCCGGGUUAAUUGAUGAUGAAGUUGAAAGGAUUAGAGGUUUUCCUUUGGAUACAGUUGCACCCUUCAGGGAAAGACUGAAAAUCUUGGGUCGAGUGGUAAACCUAGAGGACCGUCAUUUGAGCGCUGCUGAGAGGAAGCUUAUGAAUGCUUACAAUCAGAAGCCUGUUCUUUCGCGUCCUCAGCAUGAAUUUUACUUGGUAAGUUUGUUUUGUUAAACUUCUCAAAUACCUUAUAUACAUUUGAAUCUCAUGCGUGUGCAUGAUUAGUAAGUUGAGCUUUUACGAUAUGUUGUGGAGUAUCAAAAAGCCUCUGUUUCAUUGAGUGGUUUUACAUCUUUGAAUCCUAGUACAAAUGCUGUGAGAAAGAAGCCACAUUCACCUUAUAUCUCAUGAAAACUAUGUCUGCCAACGAAAAAGUUACCUCUUACAGACUCAUAGUCCAUGUAUAAGACGAGCCUUUUGCAUCUCAAUGAUUGUCCCAAUGCUUAUGUGCCAACAUAGUGCAGAUAGUUCUAGACUUGGAGCUCUGUAUCUCUAGGUUCAGCACUAUGUUGUUGUUUCUGCUGGUGGACUAUUUUGGUUGCUCUUUCAACUCCUAGAUCUAGGGAGGCUAAGAGAGAAUAGAUUUAUUUAUGUACUCUUUGGAGGGCGAAGAGUUGUUCUGUUGUUUCUGGGCUUGGAGUUCCUUUGUUUUCAGGUUCAGAGCCUCUGAAUUUGGAAACUAAUUUCUGUAAGUUCACCCCUUUUGCUGAUUAUGCUGCUAUUUGUUUCUGGACUUGGAGCUUUGUGUCUCCAGGUUCAACCUUGAAUCUGGGGCUGCUGUUUCCUGUUGGGUACGUUGAUAGCAGAUGUUAUUUGAGUUGCUCUUUCAACUCCUAAAUUUAGGGGGGCUGAGAGUUCCUUCUUUUCUCUUAUUUUGGAUGAAGACACUUAUACCAGUGCUGGUGCUUUCUGCCUCAACUAAUUGGCAUUAUGACAUGGUUAUACAUAGCUUUUCUCAGUAAUUGUUUGAGUCCCACUUAUUUCUAUUGCCUAUAAUCCUUUAAUCAUGUUCAUGAUUAGUCUUCCACUUCAAAGAAAUCCCCUUCUCUAUGAACUCAAUGAUCAGUGUUUAAAUAACUUCUGUUGUUCCACCGAUUGCAGUCACAUGCGGAUUUUAAUGAAGACCAAGUCGAUGCUUUUCUUUGUGAUGUCAUGUGACUGAUGAUCUCUGUGACAUAAUGAUGCCGCCUUCUAUUAAUGUUACUUCCUUGUAAGUGUGGGCUAUAAGUAAUUGUUUACUUGCGGUCUGGAAACACAUAAGGGGGAAGUACAUCAGUACAUGGUCAUCUUCUUCUUGUUUAUGGUUGUUUCUUUACUUCUGGUUCAAACAUAGUUUUUUCCUAUCGUGUUGGGGAGUUCUUGUUUUGUCCUUGUUUCAUAGAGUAUGCCAUCACUGCUUUUAUGAAACACCUAACAUGUUAAGCAGAUUUUUAUGUUGUCUGCAGUUUGUCUAAAGAAGAUGCACUUGAUACUAUUGAAUGUCAAGAAAGUAUUAAAGGUAAGUAAGGAGAUGUAGUUGCUUUUUGGCAGUAUACCAAGAUAUAGUUGAAGACUUUUUGGUAGUUAAAUGGAACACUCUUUUUGAGUUCUUUUUGUCAUUAGACACACCAUGGAUAUGGAUGGAUGUUUUGUAGUUUGAGUGAUGCUGUUAAGUUUGAAGUGGUUAUUGUUGGAAGAUGAAUGUUUUGAAGGGUUUUGAAGUUGGAUAGUGAAUGUUAACUUAUUGAAUAUUUGAUU